rnacentral:rRNA from 1 species
AGUAACGGCGAGUGAAGCGGCAACAGCUCAAAUUUGAAAUCUGGCCCUCGGGUCCGAAUUGUAAUUUGUAGGCGCCGCUCUCGGUGAGGUACCUUCCGAGUUCCCUGGAGCGGGACGCCAUAGAGGGUGAGAGCCCCGUCUGGUUGGAUACCGAUCCUCUGUAAAGCGCCCUCGAAAAGUAGAGUUGUUUGGG